AUCGAAUACAGAUCGCCCCGUGAUCAAUUUGAUAGAUUAUUAACGUUUAUUAAUACCUAAAGUUGGUUUAGAUAAGUAGUCUGAAGUGUUUUGUAAAAGUUUAUAGGCAACUUUUGUAAUUUUAAAAAGUGACCUUGCGUCUUGUAAAGGGGCAUUUUCCUGGAUCAGACCGGUCUUCAGGAAAUCACAUUUUGGGUAUACAAUGACGGAUUUAAUCGGGAAAAAGACCCAAUUGUGAUGUUUAUGUGACAUAUAGGAGUGCCAAGAAAGAAGCUCGUCAAAGAUGCCCUGAGUCAGCCCAUGAUUCCAAUUCCAUAAGAUUUUCCUGAACCUGACAGACAGCAACCUCUCUUCUCUCUUACCUUACAACAACUCAGCCUUCCACAUGGAAAGACUGCUAUUCCUAGACGACUGGCCUUCUCAUCAACCAUUCAGGAUACAGCAGCAUUGAGCUGAGUGCCAUAAGAGCUGUCAAUUCUCAGCUCUUGUCCAAUAGGAGAGAGAUCAAUGUGACCGGGCAAGUACUCUGCAGGCCUCCCAUGCUGUGCCAGGCUGGUCCUUUGACCAGACUACUGGUUGGUGUGGUGUAUACAGCAGAG
ensembl:lncRNA